rnacentral:lncRNA from 1 species
AGGAAUUCUCAUAAAGUACCACGGUGUCUGAGUAAUAACAUUCUCUAAGUCACGGAAUGUCAGGAAGUUCCAUUUUCUCUGUGACCUACAAUAUAAAAAAAAAAUCUAUUCACUGAGUAUGGUGGAGAAAGGGUUUCUGAGGUGAAUCCUGAGGGAAUCUGCUCUUCAAUAGAACAACUGAGCCAGGUUUUCUUCUGCAAACUGAACAUCACGGUGAGUCCAUUUUCAGAGAGAAGAACGAGGAAAAGGAAGAAGGUGACAGGACAUGAAUGCACAGAAGGAGGGAGAGGAGACGGAGUUGGGCAAUGCUCUUUGGAAAUGUCAAGGCAGUUGGAAGAGUUGGAAGGUUGCUUUUAUCGUGAGCAUGUAUACGACGCAAAUAAGAGAGGAGAAAAAAAAAACAGGAAAAGCAAGAGACUGGCUUGGAAAAUGGUAAUGAAGAAGCAGUUCAGUGAUAAUCACCUCAACUACUGGAGACUGAGAAGCAAAUCUACCACAAAAAGGCAGAAAAAUACAGAUUCAGAAAGGAAAAAAAAACAGACUGACUAAAACCAACCAACAAAAAUGAACAAGCCACCCAAUAGCUCCAUCUCCUAAUAAAUAAAUAAAUAAACAAACAAAUAAAUAAUAAAUAAAUAAAUAAAUCUUAUCUCUGAUCACUAACGG